GACGAACGCUGGCGGCGUGCUUAACACAUGCAAGUCGAACGGACAGGCGCUGCUUUUGUGGCGUGCUCGAGUGGCGAGCGGGGGAGUAACACGUGAGUAACAUGCCCUUGACUUUGGGGUAACUUCUGGAGACUGGGGCUAUUACCGCAUAGGAUCUCCUGCUGCGUGGGGGGGGUUGGUAAGUUUCGGCGGUUGGGGCUGGAAUCGCGGCUUAUCCGCUUGUUGGUGGGGUAGUGGCUGACCAGGGCUUUGACGGGUAGCCGGCCUGGGAGGGUGACCGGCGACCUUGCGCCUGCGGUACGGCCCAGACGCCAAUGGGAGGCAGCGGGGGAGAGCAUUGCACAAUGGGAGGAAGCCUGAUGUGGCAACGCCGCGUGCGGGAUGCUGGGUUUCGGGUUGUGAACAGCUGUCGCAUGUGACGAAGCGUUAGUGACGGUACUGGGUAAAGAAGCACCGGCUAACUACGUG
rnacentral:rRNA from 1 species